rnacentral:rRNA from 1 species
CCCUUAGAUGUCCUGGGCCGCACGCGCGCUACACUGAUGCAUGCAACGAGUUUAUAACCUUGGCCUGAAAGGUCUGGGUAAUCUUUUGAACGUGCAUCGUGAUAGGGAUAGAUUAUUGCAAUUGUUAAUCUUGAACGAGGAAUUCCUAGUAAACGCGAGUCAUCAGCUCGCAUUGAUUACGUCCCUGCCCUUUGUACACACCGCCCGUCGCACCUACCGAUUGAAUGGUUCGGUGAAGAUCUCGGACUUCGAUGUUUAUUCUUUAUUGAGUUUAUAUUGUGGGAAGUUAUCUAAACCUCAUCAUUUAGAGGAAGGUGAAGUCGUAACA